rnacentral:lncRNA from 1 species
CGUAUUUUAUGUAUAUAUAUUUUAUAUAUACAUAAAACAACAACCAGAGAAAUAUGAACACUGAAUGACUGUUUCAUGUAAAUACAUUUUUGAUUUUUAGAAAAAACUCUUUAGAUGUAUACACUAAAAUACAAGUGAAAGAUGAAGUAUUGGAUUUGAGAUAAUGUCGUGGGGAGAUAAGGAGGUGCUGGUAUCACUGCCCGUAAGUUGAUAAAUGUCAAAGUUGGUUGACGGCUACAUGAGAGUUCAUUAUAAUUACUCUUUUAUAUCCACUUUGAACAUUUAAAAAAUAAAUAAUACAAUCAAUAGAAAAAAUGAGAUACAUUUGAUUCCUUGUAACAUCUGCCAUGGAUGCUAAUUCAUUGCCACCAUCACUGCCGUCCUUACCAUCUCAUGUAGGGAGCCCUUACUAGGCCAAAUGGCUGCAAUUCUAAUGGCUGGUGCUGAUGUCAUUCCCAUUUUACCACUAAGGAAGCAGGUUUUGAACUCAGGCUAUCAGGUACCACUGUACACACUUGUGAGGAGACUACCUAUGACCUAAAAAUUUUGAAGAUUAUCAACAGAUUACUAAUAACUAAGUAUGAUAAUGGAACUCAAGAUGAAGCUCAAGAAACAACUUAUUUAGGAAAGCUGAAAAUCAUCAAUGGCAAGACUAAUUUUUCAAAGGCUUUGGCAGUCCCCCAGUGCUCUAACAGAAGGCUGAGAUUGGGUCGGGCACAGUGGCUCAUGCCUGUAAUCCCAGCACUUUGGGAGGCCGAGGCGGGCGGAUCACAAGGUCAGGAGAUCGAGACUAUUCAGGCUAACACAGUGAAACCCUGUCUCUACUAAAAAUACAAAAAAUUAGCCAGGUGUGGUGGCAGGCACCUGUAGUCCCAGCUACUCAGGAGGCUGAGGCAGGAGAAUGGUGUGAACCCGGGAGGCGGAGGUUGCAGUGAGCCGAGAUUGCAACACUGCUCUCCAGCCUGGGCGACAGAGAGAGACUUCGUCUCAAAAAAAAAACAAAAACAAAAACAAAAAAAACCAAAAGGCUGAGAUGCCAUGUAGAAUCAUUCUCCAUCUGAAGAGACUUAUUAGUGGUUAUUUAGGCAGGCGUAGGCAGGCUACAGCUUGGUGGGGAAAGGAGAGCAAAAUUAGGACAAAAGAAAGGAUUCUGUGGAGAAUGAGAUGAGAGCCCCAGAAAAGGGGAGAGUGGGGAGAUGUGAGUUCAGUCCUAAGAAGAGAGAGAAGCCCCAGCAACAUGACAGGAGGUUGAAGGCCGUGGAGAAAGAGGUCCUGUGGGAAAGUCCUGCUGGAGAGAAGCCAAAGGACUUUCCACCUCCAUGUGCAACAUUCGAUUAGGUUGUGUUUCAUGAUAUAAACUUCCCCUACCCAAAACACCUUCAGCAAGCCAAACUGCAACACCCACCCCCACAUCACAAUAUGAAACUUACUGUUGUCCGGGUGCAGUGGCCUACACCUGUAAUCCCAGCACUCUGGGAGGCCG